rnacentral:tRNA from 1 species
GCAGCCGUAGCUCAGUCGCGAGAGCGCUGGCAUGACCAGACGGACGGAGGGCCGCACCCUCCCGGCUGCUCCA